GUGAAAAUCUGCAAAGUCACCGUAGUGACUAAGAUUGUGAUCAGUUGUAGUUCAGACUUCAUAACUAACACAAGUAAGAAAUACUCAUGACGUCUUCACAUCACAACUACUAAAAUCCAACUGAUAUGUAACUACGUAGUAGAUGACUCAACAUUAUUUGAGUUUGUUUAUCGGUUGCCCCUAACAACGGAGAAAAAGUGAAAGGAGGGUGUCAUUUUCAGCGUAAAAAUCUGCAAAGUCAUCAUAACUCCCAAUCUAAUAAUCAUUUCGCAUCCAGACUUCACAACCUCAACACAAUUUAUUCUGUCGGACAGAUGUCCAACGCGGAACUGCUGCAUAUGUUCCAUUGUAGUUGGUCAUCCGAAAUUUGCAUACUGGUCUGACCACUCCGUGAACCCUUCCGGUCUUCACCUGCAUCUGCAUCCCUUUCCGUAUGAAAGGGAAAGUGACCUCCAGGCUUCCCAACACACUGACCUACACCAUGCAUUCGAGGAGAAACCGGUUUUCUCAUGGUUCAACAAAAGGGUCAUGAAAGAUUUUAAGUGAAAAGAAAGGGUCAUUGUGGUGUAAAAAAGGGUUAGAGCCAGGCGAACAAUGGCGGAUAAUUAACGACGAAGAAAAUCCCGUUUUUCUCCUCCGAAUAAUUAAUCUCCCGCUACUCGAGUAAAAAUAG